UGAUUUGUUGCAGAAAAUGUCACAGCGGAAUGAGACGCCGACCGAUGAGGAACUCUAGGUAGCUGCCAUUCUGUGUGACCUCUCCAACGAUUCCAGCAGAAACUUAUCCCUCCUCGCCGGCAUGCCUAGCUGGGGCACCAAGAAGGCCAGCACUCGUCGUCACAAACCGUCUACUCCUCUCCGUCCUCCUCCUUUUCAAGUCAACCAUCCGAUGGCCGACGAGGUGGGAGGAGACGGCUGCGACGCCUGCGCUGCCCCAGCCUCGUGACCCGGUGACUACAUGAGCAGUAACCGUAUGUAAUUUCUAUAGGCUCAUAUGCAAAAAUAUAAGGCCCACUCACAUCGAACCUGUUUGAUUGAACACUAAACAUCACGAUAGUUCAGAUCCAGUUAUAGACAUCUGAAUCGAAGUACACAAUCAACUAACCCUCAUUGCUGAACUACCAGGAAAGGCUUAAAUCUGGAAUUUGCCCAAUUCAAUUUUACAGUUCAGGUAUGCAAUGCAUUCGUGUACAUGAUGUACUUUACCCAAUCAAUUUUAUAGUUUUGGCCAAUUCAUGCAUUCGAUGCAUGCAUGUACCUGCUGGAAUGCCAAGUCGACACGCAGCGUAGCGUUUGAACAUGGAAAAGGAAAGCUUUAUUACGGGUCGCUCCAGAACCGUCCAUUCUGUCCCGCUUCUCAAUCUCGUCCGUCGCGCGCGUCUUGAUCAAGUCAGCAAGAGAUGCCAAGUCCGUGCGUCGGACGCCAUCGGUUGCUGCUAGGAACGCCCGCUUCCCUCCUCCCCAUCCUCCGCAGGAGAUCUAGACCCAGCCGCGCAGCUGCAGUGAUGGUGACGCUGGUGGCGACCACUGCCGACCCGGCCUCCGUCGGUUCCGUCUCUGCCUUCCUCGCCAUGCCCGGAUGGAACCCCGGCCCUUCCGUCGCCGUCAGUUCCCCUCCCAUUGAUCGCCAAUUCUUCUUUCUUCACCUUGUUCUUUUCGAUUCGUGCAAGCACGGUGUCUCUUGAUUUGACUCUUCUUGCCGAAAGCGUUUCGCGAACGGGGCGGUGCGCCUGCUGAAACACCACCGGAGCAUCGUCGAGGAGGACGACCUGGACCGCCGCUGGGAGGUGGCCACCGGCGAGCACGUCCACCUGUCUAGUAAUAUUAGAACUAGACAGGUAAUAUUAGAAAGAAAUGUGACCAGGUAUGUAGGGUAUGUAGCUCUGGCACCUCCGAUGUAUAAAUCCACCUGUCUUAACUCCUCUCGCGCUCUAUACCUCUUGGGAUUAUUGUCGAAUCUUCGUCCUCCCCACAAAUAAGCUUUUCCCCGUACUUGCUGGCUUCUUUGCCCGCUUGUUCUCGCCGCUGGAUCUUUUUUUCCUUCCCAGAAAUCAGUAAUAGCGGUUAGGCACUAAUCAUGGCUAAAGCAAAUAUCAGUAGUGAAUUAAAAUGACGCACGGGGCGGGGAGUUUCUCGUCCACACCAGGAGGCCAAGGUGCUAAUUAAUAGUGGUUUGGCACUAAUCUUGUAAUUUCCAAGUGCUUGGUUUUGCCCAUGUACCCAGUUGAAGUUCGAGUCAUGGAAGGGAUGAGUGGUGGCUGGGGCUGCAGCUGAAAAGAAAACAUGGAUCAACAACGCUCCUACCGGCUUGCUGUAUGCCCAUAAAAGAUCUGCCACAAUGGUGGACUAUUUUAGUUUGACCAAAGCCCGACAUAUUAAGAUGGUAGACUGGAAUCACAUAUGAGCUGUCGAGGAUGUAUGCUUGGGAAAUUAGUAGAUUUCUAUAACCAAAAUGUAGCCAUGGUUAUAUGUCAAGCCUUUGUAUCCCAGAUAUUAAUAGACUGCAAUCACAUAUGAUCCGAGAGAUAGCUAGCAAUCUGAAAGUGUUUUUCUUAUCCUGUCCAGUAAGUGUUUGCUCGAUGUUGCUUGAAUAAUAUGUUCCAGAUGUUUGUGAUUCGUAAAUGAAAAAAAUCUUCUUCAUUUAAGCAUUAAAUUCUGCAUAGUUUAUCUAACGAUAACCGGUUCUCCAUUUGCAAUACCAUUACUGUUUAACUGUUUUUCAACUGUUUGUUGGUUAGCUCCAAGUUUUACAGUUUUUCAACUGCAUAGAUUAAGCAUGAUAAGUAUUAAGAGUUUUUUUAACUGUUUCUUGGUUCGUUAAGUCUCUUAAUUAUAAUAGAGAAUAUUCCACCACCAAUCACGAGUCAUCAGUUAAUUAAUAGCCAUCGUGGAAGCUGACAUGGCAAGUGAUGCCCUUCCACCCGACUUCGCAUCGCACAAGUUAGACGAAUCGGUGCUGCGUUACAAGAAUCCAGACGUGCUGACUAGUAUCGUAAGGGAUGUAUGGGUCGGAUGUUCGCAUGAUCGUGUCACGGGAGGUAUCGACGAUCAUUAUUAGUCAUCGUAGUCUCGGGUCAUCUCUGUCGAUAUAAAUAUUAGUUUCUAUGGGACAGGAGACCAAUUUGUUACCUAUCUUUAAGAUCAAAUCAUAUGUUUAUUACGUAAGAUCGUGACAUCGACUAUAACUAUAGAAGUCGAGAAACCUAAGUGCGGCUCGACUUAUUAUGCAAGUCGACAAACCAACCACCCCGCGACGUGGCCGUGUGCGUAACAAGUAUAAGAAAAAGGACAGGUGACGAGAAGGGUAUUAAUGUUCGUUGAUAACUAAAGUGGAAGUAGAAAGACGGGUGACCGGAGGGAAAGGGCAUUCUGGGUUGACGAUGCAACUGCAGCCAAACUCAAUAAAGGGCCACCACAGGCUUGCUCCGUCUUGCACUUCCCAUCUCCGCCAGCCUCCGCCAACUGCAGGAGAUGUCACAGCUGAAUGAGCCGCAGACCGGCGAGGAACUCAAGGUGGCUGCCAUUCUGUGUGACCUCUCCGACGAUUCCCGCAGCAACUUAUCCCUCUUCGCCGGCAUGCCUAGCUGGGGCACCAAGAAGCCUCGCACAUUUUGUCACAAAUCGCCUAGCAUCUUAUCCCUCCUCACUGACAGACUAGCUGGGGCUCCAAGAAGGCCCGCACUCGUCAUCACAAACCGCCUAUUCCUCUCCCUUCCCCUCCUACUCUUCAAGUCAACCAUCCUACGGCCGACGAGGUGGGAGGAGACGGCUGCGACGCCUGCGCU
rnacentral:lncRNA from 1 species